AGUGAACGCUGGCGGUAGGCCUAACACAUGCAAGUCGAACGGCAGCACAGUAAGAGCUUGCUCUUACGGGUGGCGAGUGGCGGACGGGUGAGGAAUACAUCGGAAUCUACUUUUUCGUGGGGGAUAACGUAGGGAAACUUACGCUAAUACCGCAUACGACCUACGGGUGAAAGCAGGGGAUCUUCGGACCUUGCGCGAUUGAAUGAGCCGAUGUCGGAUUAGCUAGUUGGCGGGGUAAAGGCCCACCAAGGCGACGAUCCGUAGCUGGUCUGAGAGGAUGAUCAGCCACACUGGAACUGAGACACGGUCCAGACUCCUACGGGAGGCAGCAGUAGGGAAUAUUGGACAAUGGGCGCAAGCCUGAUGCAGCCAUACCGCGUGGGUGAAGAAGGCCUUCGGGUUGUAAAGCCCUUUUGUUGGGAAAGAAAAGCAGCAGGUUAAUACCCCGCUGUUCUGACGGUACCCAAAGAAUAAGCACCGGCUAACUUCGUG
rnacentral:rRNA from 1 species